rnacentral:RNase_P_RNA from 1 species
GGAGUCGGUCAGGCAAUCGCUACAAGCAUCCGGCUUGGAGAGGAAAGUCCGGGCUCCUUCGGACAAGGCGCCAGGUAACGCCUGGGGGGCGCGAGCCCAUGGAAAGUGCCACAGAAAAUAUACCGCCAGCCCCGUCAUGGGGCCGGUAAGGGUGAAAAGGUGUGGUAAGAGCGCACCGCGCGACUGGUAACAGAUCGCGGCACGGUAAACCCCGCCUGGAGCAAGACCAAAUAGGGGAGUAGCAGCAUAGCUGCGCCGCCGGUUCCGAGC